rnacentral:lncRNA from 1 species
UCCCUUGUCGACACAAAGACAGUUUGUUUGUAACAGGACAGAAGCCAAGAAGAAAGAAAUGGCGUCGACGGUGGCAAGCCUCUCAAUUCCGGCGACCACCUUCGCGGCGGCGGCGGCCGGCGAUGUGCUCCCAAGGAGGAAGGCCGCCGCCACCGGCCGCGUCUGGUUCCCCGUGGCGCGGCGCGGCGGAGGAUUCGCCGUGAGGUCGACCGGGCCGGCCACGCCGUCGAACAUCUCCGACAAGCUGUCGGAGAGCAUCAAGGAGGCGGAGGAGACGUGCGCGGACGAGAAGGGCACCGCGGAGUGCGCGGCGGCAUGGGACAAUGUGGAGGAGAUCAGCGCCGCGGCGAGCCACGCCCGCGACAACCUCAAGGAGAACAGCGACCCGCUGGAGAAGUACUGCAAGGAGAACCCGGAGACCGACGAGUGCCGCAUCUACGACAACUAAUAAUAAGCGCGUGUGUACAAGUAAUUAAUCGAUCACACGUGUUAUUAGUUUGUUAAUGAAUCAAACGUGUUGAGUUAUUAGUUUGUUAUUAUG